rnacentral:rRNA from 1 species
ACUCAAAGGAAUAGACGGGUCCCCGCACAAGCAGCGGAGCGUGUGGUUUAAUUCGAGGCUACACGAAGAACCUUACCAGGGUUUGACAUGCUAGUGGUAGUGAAGCGAAAGCGGAACGACCCUUCGGGGAGCUAGCACAGGUGCUGCAUGGCUGUCGUCAGCUCGUGUCGUGAGAUGUCAGGUUAAGUCCUGUAACGAGCGCAACCCUCGUCGUUAGUUACAAGUGUCUAACGAGACUGCCCGUGAUAAGCGGGAGGAAGGUGAGGAUGACGUCAAGUCAGCAUGGCCUUUAUGUCCUGGGCUACACACACGCUACAAUGGCCGGUACAAUGGGUUGCCAAGUCGCGAGACGGAGCCAAUCCCUCAAAGCCGGUCUCAGUUCGGAUUGCAGGCUGCAACUCGCCUGCAUGAAGUCGGAGUUGCUAGUAACCGCGCGUCAGCUAUAGUGCGGUGAAUACGUUCCCGGGGAUUGUACACACCGCCCGU